AUUGAACGCUGGCGGCAUGCCUUACACAUGCAAGUCGAACGGUAACAGGUCUUCGGAUGCUGACGAGUGGCGAACGGGUGAGUAAUACAUCGGAACGUGCCCGAUCGUGGGGGAUAACGAAGCGAAAGCUUUGCUAAUACCGCAUAAGAUCUACGGAUGAAAGCAGGGGACCGCAAGGCCUUGCGCGAACGGAGCGGCCGAUGGCAGAUUAGGUAGUUUGUGGGAUAAAAGCUUACCAAGCCGACGAUCUGUAGCUGGUCUGAGAGGACGACCAGCCACACUGGGACUGAGACACGGCCCAGACUCCUACGGGAGGCAGCGGUGGGGAAUUUUGGACAAUGGGCGAAAGCCUGAUCCAGCCAUGCCGCGUGCAGGAUGAAGGCCUUCGGGUUGUAAACUGCUUUUGUACGGAACGAAAAGACUCUCUCUAAUAAAGAGGGUCCAUGACGGUACCGUAAGAAUAAGCACCGGCUAACUACGUGCCAGCAGCCGCAGUAACAC
rnacentral:rRNA from 1 species